UAGGGAAGUCUUCCACAAUGGGCGGAAAGCCUGAUGGAGCAACGCCGCGUGUGUGAUGAAGGGUUUCGGCUCGUAAAACACUGUUGUAAGAGAAGAAUGACAUUGAGAGUAACUGUUCAAUGUGUGACGGUAUCUUACCAGAAAGGAACGGCUAAAUACGCGCCAG
rnacentral:rRNA from 1 species